rnacentral:rRNA from 1 species
GACGUAGGGCGCGAGCGUUGUCCGGAUUUAUUGGGCGUAAAGAGCUCGUAGGCGGCUUGUCACGUCGGAUGUGAAAGCCCGGGGCUUAACCCCGGGUCUGCAUUCGAUACGGGCUAGCUAGAGUGUGGUAGGGGAGAUCGGAAUUCCUGGUGUAGCGGUGAAAUGCGCAGAUAUCAGGAGGAACACCGGUGGCGAAGGCGGAUCUCUGGGCCAUUACUGACGCUGAGGAGCGAAAGCGUGGGGAGCGAACAGG